rnacentral:rRNA from 1 species
UACGGGGGAUGCAAGCGUUACCCGGAUUUAUUGGGUUUAAAGGGUGCGUAGGCUGUGAAGUAAGUCAGCGGUGAAAUGCCCCCGCUCAACGGGGUGAAGUGCCAUUGAUACUGCCUUGCUGGAAUGCGGAUGCCGUGGGAGGAAUGUGUGGUGUAGCGGUGAAAUGCAUAGAUAUCACACAGAACACCGAUUGCGAAGGUAUCUCACGAAUCCGCGAUUGACGCUGAUGCACGAAAGCGUGGGUAUCAAACAGG